GUGAUAUGAGCAAUUAUAGUAUCAAUUUAAUUGAUAAAGGUAAGAAUAUUUCAAGAAAAGGUAUUUUAAGCCAAUUUGGAAAGGGUAAUAGAAGCGGUCUAGUACAGUACGGAGCUUAUACAGCAGAUAAAUCCAUAUCACUUGAUUUAAACAAAGAAAUCUUAAGCAAACAUGGUAACAUAAAUACUAGUAACAGAAGUAGUAACACCCAAGACGACAUGAAUAAAGAAAUGACCAAUAAACAAAAUAAUGAUUUUUUUAAUGAUAUUUGUACAAAAGAAAAAGAGCUUAUUAUGCAGGAGCAAAAUGUAAUGAUACUAAAAGAAAAUAUAUUAGAAAAAGAAAAUAUUUUAAAUAAAAAAGAAGAAAAAUUAAAUGAUGAAAAAAAAAAUGCUUCUACAACAUAUAAAUGAAUUGAAUGUUUUGAAAGAUAACGUUUUGAGCAAAAUUGAAUUUAUAAACAGUAAAGAAGAAGAGAUAAAAAGAAAAGAGACAUCGUUGUUCGAGCAGGAAGAAAAUAUAAUGAAAAAAGAAACAGCGUUGCACCAAAAAGAAAUGUACUUAUUACAAAUUGAAGAUUCAUAUUCUUUGAAUAAUAAUCAACAAAAAAAUAAUAUAAGUGCUACUAGUUCUACUACUGGUGACACUAAUAAUGAUGGUUCCUUAAAAACAUUAAAUGGUAGUCAAGGUAUAAAUAAUAUGAAUGAAUAUAAUAAGUUAAAUGAAUCAGUAAUUAAUAUUUUAAAAAAUAUAAAUCAGGACAGUGAUUACAAUAGAACAAAUAACAAAAGUUUAAAGUUACAAGAUAUGGACGAAAAUUCGGAGAAUUAUGAAAAAGACACAAAUGAUGUAAAUGACAUGAGUCAAAUAAACAAUAUGCAUGACUCGAAUGAUGAAAAAAAAAAAAAAAAUUUACAACAAAAGAACAAUAAAAAUAUGUCAUAUGAUGAAAAAAUGAUAAAUAAUUCAACUAACGAUAUAAACGGAUUUAAUCUAUCAGAAAACCAUUUACCUAAAAAUGGGGACAUGAACAAACAUACAGCUGAACAAGAAAUAGAAAAACUCAAAAGUAUAAUAAAAAGUAAAAACUUAAUUAUAAACUCAUUAAAAGAAUAUAUAAACAAAUUACAAACCAAUAAAGAACAGGAUUUAAGUAACAUCAGUAAAUCAUGUAGUUACAUACAAAAUUUAAAACAAAGUAAUUUUAAAAAUGAUAAAACAAUAAAUGUAUCAGAUUACUUAGAUAAACAAACAGAAAGCUCUAGUUUAUCACAUGCGUCAAGUAAUAUAGAAAAUAUGUUAAUGGAUGGUGAAUCGAAUAACAGUAAGGACUAUUUGACGGAUAUGUAUCAGACACAUAAGACAAAUUUUGAAGACUUAACAAAACCAAAUGGACAAGAAGUUAAUAAAAUGAUUAGCAAAGAAUUGUUAGCAAUAUAUAAAGAAAUAAACAACAUAAAGAAAGAGUACAACUUAAAUGUACUUAAAAAAAAUGAAUUCAUCGGAAACUUGUUAAUAUCAUUUUUCAACGAGUUGAAAAACAAUUAUAAAUUAAAAGAGAAAUAUUAUCAAGAAGAAUCAAAUAAAAAUAUGGAACUUAUUAACCAAAAGGAAAACUAUAUAAAAGAGCUCAAGUAAAAAUAAACAAACGAACGAACUACUCGGAUUGUUUAAG
ensembl:lncRNA